UACAGAGGUGGCAAGCGUUGUUCGGAAUUACUGGGCGUAAAGGGCGCGUAGGCGGUCCCAUAAGUCCCGCGUGAAAUCCCCCGGCUCAACUGGGGAACGGCGCGGGAGACUGCGGGGCUUGAGUUCGGGAGAGGGAAGCGGAAUUCCGGGUGUAGCGGUGAAAUGCGUAGAUAUCCGGAGGAACACCGGUGGCGAAGGCGGCUUCCUGGACCGACACUGACGCUGAGGCGCGAAAGCUAGGGGAGCAAACGGG
rnacentral:rRNA from 1 species